rnacentral:rRNA from 1 species
AGGGAAUCUUCCACAAUGGGCGAAAGCCUGAUGGAGCAACGCCGCGUGAGCGAAGAAGGUCUUCGGAUCGUAAAGCUCUGUUGUAAGGGAAGAACAAGUGCAGUAGUAACUGGCUGCACCUUGACGGUACCUUACUAGAAAGCCACGGCUAACUACGUGCCAGCAGCCGCGGUAAUACGUAGGUGGCAAGCGUUGUCCGGAAUUAUUGGGCGUAAAGCGCGCGCAGGCGGUCUCUAAGUCUGAUGUGAAAGCCCCCGGCUUAACCGGGGAGGGUCAUUGGAAACUGGGAGACUUGAGGGCAGGAGAGGGAAGCGGAAUUCCAUGUGUAGCGGUGAAAUGCGUAGAGAUAUGGAGGAACACCAGUGGCGAAGGCGGCUUCCUGGCCUGUAACUGACGCUGAGGCGCGAAAGCGUGGGGAGCAAAC